rnacentral:rRNA from 1 species
GCAUAUCAAUAAGCGGAGGAAAAGAAACCAACCGGGAUUGCCUUAGUAACGGCGAGUGAAGCGGCAAAAGAAAUUUGAAAUCUGGUACCUUUGAUGCCCGAGUUGUAAUUUGGAGAGGGCAACUUUGGGACCGUUCCUUGUCUAUGUUCCUUGGAACAGGACGUCAUAGAGGGUGAGAAUCCCGUGUGGCGAGGAGUGCGGUUCUAUGUAAAGUGCCUUCGAAGAGUCGAGUUGUUUGGGAAUGCAGCUCUAAGUGGGUGGUAAAUUCCAUCUAAAGCUAAAUAUUGGCGAGAGACCGAUAGCGAACAAGUACAGUGAUGGAAAGAUGAAAAGAACUUUGAAAAGAGAGUGAAAAAGUACGUGAAAUUGUUGAAAGGGAAGGGCAUUUGAUCAGACAUGGUGUUUUGCGCCCUCUGCUCCUUGUGGGUGGGGGAAUCUCGCAGUUCACUGGGCCAGCAUCAGUUUUGGUGGCAGGAUAAAUCCGUAGGAAUGUAACUUGCUUCGGGAAGUAUUAUAGCCUAUGGGAAUACUGCCAGCUGGGACUGAGGACUGCGACGUAAGUCAAGGAUGCUGGCAUAUUGGUUAUA